UUUCAUAACUGUUUAGUACCAGGCCACAUAAACCCGUAGAUCCGAACUUGUGCCCAUUUAUGGUCAAUCACAAGCUCGUCUCUAGGGGUCAGUGUUGUCAUGGAAAUGCUACCAACAACUUC
rnacentral:precursor_RNA from 9 species